rnacentral:lncRNA from 1 species
UUGUUGGAAAAAAAGAAUCGUUCCUUCUUCUUUUUCGUCGUUUAAUUUUGAACGAAAACAGGAAUGAGAAGGAAUGUAAGUUAUUUGUUAAUAUAGCGCAGAGGCGUGGAAGACCUGCUGCGAACGCCGAACGCGUCAAAAAGAUCGUAUAAUCAGGGACGAACCAAUAUUUUUCGACGGAGGGUUAAACGAGGAGCAAGAAGGCGAUCCCUUACCUUCUCGUAUAACACACAUUCUUUCCUCGACGCCCGCUGCGUUGCCUACCGGAAAAGAGAGGGGAAACGGCGUCCUCCAUUCUUCGAAGCGAAUCCUAUAUAUCGGCGGAGUAUUUUGCCAUCCAUCGUCGUUCGAAUCGUAUAUAAUGCGAACCAUCAAAAUGCGCUUAAACCAGGUCGAGUUAUUACCACGGCAAAUACGCGAUACGGUUCACGAGGGCACGAUGCCACACUGUAAAUCACUCGUAUACUCUCUCUCUCUCUCUCUCUCUCUCUUCGACACGCAUUGGGUGACUGUUUGUCCCAUCCUUUCUCGUCCCAUUAAUAUUUAGAUUACCUUUUAUUCAUGUGAUUCAAGAUCCAGUGAGUCGGUAUCGAAACAGCAUUGAAAAUCCUUCAAGAAUGUAAUAAAGUAAUCUUGAAAAUUUUUCAGAGAGAAGAAACAAGAAAAGAUACACAAGAAAAAAACUACGAAACGAUAGAAAUUAACGAAGCGCGAGGAAAUUUAUACUCGGGUUGGUUCGGAAAUUGUUCGGGUAUGAUCGGCUCGCGUCGGGUCGCUCGAGUUAGAAAUUAUAUUCGGGUCGAGUCGGCUCGGUUCGACGGUAAUCGGCUUCUCGAUGGAAAUACACACACUUAGUUGUUUCUAAACACUUUGAAUCGACGGUCGUAUUCGAGCUUCGUCUCAAAAAUAUUAUUUGAAUUUUCUGGCAAAAAUCUCACGAAAUUCACGAAAUAUCUUCGAUAUCCCGACCCGAUCCCGAAAAACUUUCCAACUUGUAUUAUUUUUGGAUUCUUGGACAUCUUUGAAUACAUCAGCGAUGAAUACAUAGGCGAUCGAACGAAACGGCGUAGAUUCUGACGGAUUAUAUUGACUCGUGAACGGGAUGAAUAAGCAACCGUUGGAAGUGUAUCGAAGCCGUAAGAUGACGAUGCUUUACGAUCGAAGAUAACGCGCUGAAGACUAUACGCCAAUUUCAAGCCGCGUUCUUUCCCCCCGGAGGGAUUAAUCGGGCCUCGUUUAAAACGUUGGCCGCAACGUUCUUCCAUUUUUUAAAUCCUCCCAUGGCAUCAUCCCAUAGCCGUCGUCCCGGUUUCGAAGUGGUUCCACGCUCUCUCUCGCACGUACACGGAUAUACGUAUCGACGUACACUUUGAAAAACAGUGUGUAUACCUCGGUGUGUAUACAUUGGCGAGCCACUACCGUUCGCGUGCAGGUAUAGCCAUAUCCAUCCCGGUGGAACACUCUUUACCGCGGUCGAUUCAUAAUCGUUUCACGGGAAAGCAAUUUCUCGGCCGAAAGGACGAUCGUUUUCCUGGCCCCAAGGCAGGCCACGAGUUUGCCACGCACGCAGGGACGAUGAAAUGGAAUUGAAAACGGAUGGAAUGGAGAAAAUUCACGACUGUCGUUUCCAAAAAUUAUUCUCGUCGAUACCACGCAAACGACUAUACAUUUCAUCAUUACUGGCGGCGAAACAAUCUUAAUAAGAUAUCCUUCACAAGAUA